rnacentral:rRNA from 1 species
CCUACGGGUGGCAGCAGUGGGGAAUAUUGCACAAUGGGGGAAACCCUGAUGCAGCGACGCCGCGUGAGCGAUGAAGUAUUUCGGUAUGUAAAGCUCUAUCAGCAGGGAAGAAAAUGACGGUACCUGACUAAGAAGCCCCGGCUAACUACGUGCCAGCAGCCGCGGUAAUACGUAGGGGGCAAGCGUUAUCCGGAUUUACUGGGUGUAAAGGGGGCGUAGACGGUCCUGCAAGCCAGAUGUGAAAGCCCGGGGCGCAACCCCGGGACUGCAUUUGGAACUGUAAGGCUAGAGUGUCGGAGAGGCAGGCGGAAUUCCUGGUGUAGCGGUGAAAUGCGUAGAUAUUAGGAGGAACACCAGUGGCGAAGGCGGCCUGCUGGACGAUGACUGACGUGGAGGCUCGAAAGCGUGGGGAGCAAACAGGAUUAGAUACCCCGGUAGUC